UGACUCUGGAAACCAUUCAGAGUAGAUUCGAGUGGUGAAAGUGUCAGAAAUUUGGCCAUGUGUCACUGUGUGCAUCUCCAGGGGUUCUUCCUGACCCCAUGAGGACAAGGAGAAGAAGUGCAGUGCGGCACAGUGAGUGCACAUCCCUGCAGGACUCCCUCAGGAGCUCUGAUUAAUCCCAGCUUUGCCCUCACUGUAAGGCUUCUCCCGAAACCUUAAGCUGUCAUUUGGGUGUUCUCAUCCAUCAGCUACUGGAAGCUCUAUCGAUAAUGCAAUCAUUUCCCCUUUGGUCCUUCUGUUUCCCUUUUUCUGUGCUGCAGAUGCUGCCAUUUGUUAUUGCCGUCCCUCUGAAAUGCUGGAGGCUGUGCAGGCGCUCCAUGGCACAGGGAGAGCUCCUGCACCCUCAGCAAGGAACAGCCAGGAGUCACCCCAUGGUCUGUGCUGGCCAGAGCUGCUAGCACUGACUGCAUGAGAAACACAACCGAAGGGGGAAAGAUGGUGAGCAAAAAGCUUGACCACACCUGGGCAGCAGUGGUGAAAGCAACAUCAGUGGGAGAUGCUGCCAACGGCCACCCCGACACAUCUGGGCUCAACGUGUUAGAGGGGCUGCGGGCAGCCUGCCUGAGCAGAGCCGGCUCCACGGCCGCGGGAUGCGCAGUGCUGCAAGGGAUCUCAGCCAUCAAUAAACAUCAGUGUCAAAAAGGACAGGAAAAGGUUAUUUAUCACAAAGCAGGCCAAGGAACAGGAAUGCAGCAGGGGUGAUGUGGGCUCUGGCCACCCCGCUGGGCCCAUGUCCGGUGGCAGCUCGGGGUCAGAGCCGCCAGCCCAGCACUCUGCAUCCCCAUGGCUCGCCUGGGGCUGGGCUGUGUGCUG
rnacentral:lncRNA from 1 species